rnacentral:rRNA from 1 species
CCCGCCGGCGACCGGCGCACGGGUGAGUAACACGUAUGAAACCUGCCCGUAGCAGGGGGAUAAGCGGAAGAAAUUCCGUCUAAUGCCGCGUAACAACCCAUGGAGGCAUCUCUGUGGGUUUAAAGGAAGCGAUUCCGGCUACGGAUGGUCAUGCGUCGCAUUAGCUUGUUGGCGGGGUAACGGCCCACCAAGGCGACGAUGCGUAGGGGUUCUGAGAGGAAGGUCCCCCACACUGGUAUUGAGACACGGACCAGACUCCUACGGAAGGCAGCAG